rnacentral:lncRNA from 1 species
AAUAUAUAAUAGAUUUAUAAUACUUUUGAUUUUUCUUCUAUAAAUUCCAGUGUACAAGUAAGUGACCUUAUUGAUCUCCUUAAGAGUAAAAGUUUAUCAUACUUGAUUUAUUUUUCCUGUGGAAAAUACAUGGUUCUUUUCAGCCACUUCAGCUUCUUCCAUCAAUUAAAAAACUGAAUGCCACACCAUUGCCAAUAGUGCUGAAAACGGCAUUAAACACCAAUAAUUAAUCAUAAAUCAAUUCAGUCAUAAUUGAUUAACUGUUGUAGAAAUUAGGAUUUUUUUUUGUGAAAAAACAUGACA